rnacentral:rRNA from 1 species
CAAUAGCGUAUAUUAAAGCUGUUGCGGUUAAAAAGCUCGUAGUUGGAUUUCUGUCAAGGACAACUGGUCCGCCCUCCGGGUGAGCACAUAGUUUGGUCUUGGCAUCUUGCUGGAAGCUGUUGCUGCACUUGGCUGUGUGGCGCAGCGUCCAGCACUUUCACUUUGAGGAAAUUGGAGUGUUUCAAGCAGGCACAUGCCUUUGGACACAGUAGCAUGGAAUAAUUAGAUUGGGCUUUUGCUCCAAUUUGUCGGUUUCUGGAGCUGAGGUGAGAAUUAAUGGGGAUUGUUGGGGGCAUCCGAAUUUAGCCGUCAGAGGUGAAAUUCUUGGAUCUGCUAAAGACGGACAACUGCGAAAGCGUUUGCCAAGGAUGUUUUCAUUGA